GAUAGGAUGGAAAGUCCAUCAUUACAGAAAUGUAUGGGGAAAUGAGAAACAGAUGACAGAGAGCAGGGAGACCACCCUUCAUUCUUUGCACAAGAUUCUUACAGGAGAACUGGUAACAUCUUCAUGGUUUAUGAAGGCCAGCGUAGUUGACUUUAGAAUUUGUGUCUCCUGAAUAUUCAUCCAUGUCUUUUCAUUCUUAAGCCCUUACUUCCCUUAUUGGAAAACAUCUCCUAUAUCCCAGCCAUCUCUUCCUCAUCCCUAUUCUCCAGAUACUCCAGCACUUUCAUUGUCAUCUCCUGGACCUUUCCAAGAAUGCUUUAGAGUACAUAUGUGUCCUGCUUGGAGCCAAAUUAUUAACUCCACAAAUAGACUGAUGUUUGGUUUCCAAAAGGAUUUUUACUUUACUUCAAGGAAGUCUUCUUUGAAGAAUAAGUUCUUCUGUGUUUAAAUAGAACUUUAUUUCUGGAAAGCAGGAUUGAGGAUCAAAAGCCGCAAGCCAAUGCUGUGCUCUGAAGAGCCAUGCACAAGACAAAUUUACAAGGAAGUGGAGACUAUGAGCAACAGAAGGUAUAAAACCAAGCAAAGGCACACAUAUAGAGUAGGAAGAAAGGAAGCCAGGAAUAGAGGGGGAGAGGCCAGAAAAAGCACAGACCUAGUGGGUAGAGUAUCCAAGGAUCCCAAGAAAGAUCCCCUAAAUUCUUUUCCUGAGAUCCAGAGAUUUGCCUUGGAUCCAGUACCUGCUUCCUGAGGCCUGACUUCAUCACCAUCUCCCUAGUGACAGUAGUCCCUUUACUGAGUUAGCGGAGAGAGACACUGUGCCUUCAUCCCCAAGUGCCUCGGUUGAUUGCUUUUUUGUUUCAAGCAUGAAGCCAUUGGGUAAAAUUCAGCACAUCUGAACUUCCAGCAGCUUAGUGGCAAGGGAAAGGUCCCUGGUUUGGCUAAUGAUCAGAGAAAGCCACAGUGAAUCAGCAGGGACACUCUUUGGAGCCGACCCAGUGUGACUUUUCCCUGAAGCAGAAGGCAGGGUAAAGAAUGAGAGGAAUGGACAGAGGCAUAUCCCACUAGGGCAUCAUAAAAACAGCUAACUGACCUGAAACCACGGGCUGGAGGCUCUGAGAUCAGCUGCUUUGAUACAAGUAAGAUCCACCUUCGUUAUUCAGGUGGCUUGGGAUGGACUCUGCUGAGUCCCAUUGAACCCAUUCAACAAUUUUCAUACAAAUCUCAGGGCUAGGUUCUCUGCUAGCUACUGAAUGUUCUCCUGCACCAGAAAAAGAAAAUUGUAUGCAGACACUUCAAGAAUAGUUGAAUACUGGGCUGGUGCAGUGGCUCAUGUCUGUAAUCCCAGCACUUUAGGAGAAAUGGUCCCCACACUCUUUUCUUCUCCCUCCUAUUUUUAAGCUUAAACUCCUUCUAGAGUAAUCUAUUCCCACCACCAGCCCCCAUGUCUUAGGGAUGCUAAGUGACUUCUUCCUUUUUUACAACCUGCAAUAAGUCACAAGGUGAAUAAAGCCAAGGUUCAGGCCUAGACCUGGUUAGUAAAGUUCUUCCAGGCUCUGGAAGCUAAAAUCCAGGGCUCUGCAUUUUGCGGGUAAAGAAGCACCACAACGUGAGGGAGGUCCUAAUGGAAGUUGAAGAUAUAUAGGUGUGAAUAAUUAAUCAGAGGGGAUCUGGGUGGAUCAGGCAGGUAGAAGAAGGGGAUGUGGUUGGAGUGGGCAGCAGAGGUACCAUCACAAACUGCAGGCUAUCAAGUGGGUUAGGCCUAGGAGGCCACAGUUUAACAGCACAUUCAGUCUAAGAGGCUCCUUUGCUGAAAAAUCAGUGCCAACAAACAUGGAAAAACAAAAAAGCCCAAGGAAAUAUUUAUGCAAGCUAGGUUGGAUGAAUAAAUAAUAAAGGAAUAUCCAAGAUUAAAGUGUUGCUGUACUCAUGCAGUGGUAAUUUCAUGUAAAGUCAAAGGUCCCUCAAAUAUGACACUGUGAUUCUAAAGAUUUUUCUAUUCCAUUGGCAUUGCAUCUUGCUGACACUCUUUGAAGGAAGCUUUAUGGAAUAAUUUCCCAUCUCACUGCCUCUUUCCACUAUGGAGUGUUCAACCUGUUAUCCUUGUCAACUUCAUUCAUCUCAGUCUUUCUCCUCUGCACCACUUUUAUAUUUCUACAAUUCUGAUGAUCACACUUAUCUCUCUUGCUCCUGGUACUGAACCAUAAACAUCUUGAGAGUUACGAUCAUGUUAACUUAUCAAUACACCUCGGGGACAACAGCAAUGGUCUUCACAAACUCGGAGCAGAUAAUCGAGGCUUGCAGGUUGACUGAAUUAUUCACAGUCCAAAGCUUUACUUUGAUAGUUCCAUGCAAGCAAAGUUUUUCCUAGACUUCCAUUCUAUUGAAUUCCUUAGGUUUAUCAACCAAAGAAUCCUUUAGGUGAUUAAUCCUAAUUCCUUAGGUAAUUAAUCACCCAAAUAUUUAUUGAGCAUCUAGUCUGUACCCAUCUUGACACU
rnacentral:lncRNA from 10 species